UGGUGAAAAGGCUCGUAAUGCCAUUAGCCAU
rnacentral:piRNA from 1 species